CUCAGUUGUACGGGCGGUGCUGGCUGCUGUGGAUGUGAAAACUCCCUGCCCCAUCUUGUUUGGAGUGAUGCAGCUGGCUGAAGGUGGGAAAGAAACCCGAAGUCGUGAGUCUGGUGGAGCCCUGCGUGUUUCCAAACGCCCUGCUCUGAGUUCAUCCCACCAGUAAGGCUGUGCAGCGUGAGAACUGGUAUGUAAACACGAUUCACAGGCACAAGGAACAAGAAGGCUUUUCUGACAGUGGCACCUUGCUCAUGGCUCUCAAAGCUUGGAGGGAGAGUGGGAUCGCUGGAAAAUACAAGACAAGCUGAUGGUU
rnacentral:lncRNA from 1 species